CUUGAGUGACUCUAUAAGGCGUGGAUGAAGUUCUGGGUGAGUGUGUGUUAUUGACAAGGACCAAUAUACCUAGGAUCUAUGGAGACUGGGAAAACUUCCCUUCCUAUGAGUUUCAGAGGCAGAGCAAAACCUUUCACUAAUCCAAACACAGGUGUUUGCAAAUGACUGACCAGUGUGUACACAAUUGCAACUUCCUCCUUCUGGAGGAUCGCAUCCUAAGACUGCUUUCCUACAGAGAUCUCCUACAAGACUAGUUAGCCCCUUCUCAUGCUGUAUAUGGUAAAUGCCCUGUGGCUCUGGGUUGUUUCAUAGUAUUGAUCCAUCAGAGCGAGGACAACACACCUGACCCCUUCUGUAUGUGUAUCUGUCCUUUCUUCAUUGUUUCAUCUCCCUAGUCAAAUUUCCAGGACCAAGCCAUGCUGGAGGUGGCAAAAUUCUAGAAAAAAAAGAAAAAGGACCACAUGUCACACAAGGAUUUCUUAGAUUAAUAAACCAAGAAGCAGGCCACUUUCCAUGAGGUUGCACCAGUGGAGCUGGUGCCACUGAGUCAGUAGGAGCAGCAACGGACUCUUCACUUGAUCUUAGCCAAAAGGCGGAGAAGCAAUAGCAAUGGACUCUUACCCAGCAUGCCCUGCUGCCUCAUUUUUAUUUUCUAAAAGGGACUCCUAUGCAGUACUGCUCAUGCAUGCACUCAAAAAUGUUUAGGUUACCCCAUUACAGUUCCCCUUAAUUAAAAACAUGAAUAUUCCCCCUUAAAACCUCAAAUUCCACUCAGUGUUGAAUAUUCCCCCUUAAAACCUCAAAUUCCACUCAGUGUUGACUCAUUUACAAAGUUGACUCAUGCAAAGACCGAAAGCAUGUUUAUUAAACACUCAAGCUUCGAAA